GCUGGAGGAGUGGGGAUAGAGCUGCUGGACCUUGGCUGACACAAUACUGCCAGAAGCCAGGGAGAUUGAGAAGGAGUCCUGAACUGGUUGUAGUGAUUGUCAGGACAACGCCCUGAGAUGGACCUCUGGACAUGGACCGGCUGUGUGACUGCAACGUCAGAUCCCAGACUGCUUACUACCUAGAUAAUGGUCAGCAAGAGGCAUACAGAAUCUGGAUUAACUACAGCUACGGAGCACCUUGGAUGGAGAUCAAGCAAGCUCUUUUGAUGAUGGAACGCCAGACAGACCGACUGCAACAUCGGAUCCCAGACUGACUACUACCUAGAGAAUGGUCAGCAAGAGGAACACAGAAUCUGGAUGAACCACGGCCCCACCCUCAGACACACUGUCACAAGCUAAGGAUUUCUAGACAACAUUCUGAAUCUAUUCAUACCCCUUUACCUUCCUUAUGUUGUAAA